ACGUAAUUUUUAUGAAAUUUUUGUUCUUUAUUGUAUCAAGACAUCAAAGAAACUCAUCUCUAUUCCUGGAUGACUGACAUUAAGAAAAUGGCGCACAAGUGACAUUUGGAUAAAAAUACGAAAACCCACGCACACACAAGCACAUACAUACACGCAUGCAUGCAUAUAUACAAGAUUUAGAUACACAAAGAAUAAAGGAUGUAUUAUUUCUGAAAACUUAAUUUCAGGAACAGAAGCAAUCAUUUUUAAUGCAGUUGGCUGUAAUAAGUGAUCUUUCUAACGAAGAAAUCAAUGCCGUUAUAGAAGAAACUCUCUCAGAAACCAAAGGUGAUAAAAUUGCAAAAGACAAACUCAGUAAAGAACUUCAGAAAGAAUUAGAAAAAGCAAAAUCUAAUUUAGAAAAUGAAAAUUCGGGUGAAUGAAUCACUGUCGAAAGACAUCACUGAUACUCAUCAAUCAUGUUCUUGUCCUUGUUAUUACCUGCAGAAGGCUAAGGCACACAUACGCAUAGAACCAAAACCAUUACUUUUUGAAUAAACAUGCGACUGAUACCGAA